UACGAAGGGGCUAGCGUUGCUCGGAUUUACUGGGCGUAAAGGGCGCGUAGGCGGACAGUUAAGUUGGGGUGAAAGCCCGGGGCUCAACCUCGGAAUUGCCUUCAAUACUGGCUGUCUUGAGUGUGAGAGAGGUGUGUGGAACUCCGAGUGUAGAGGUGAAAUUCGUAGAUAUUCGGAAGAACACCAGUGGCGAAGGCGACACACUGGCUCACUACUGACGCUGAGGCGCGAAAGCGUGGGGAGCAAACAGG
rnacentral:rRNA from 1 species